rnacentral:rRNA from 1 species
AUUGAACGCUGGCGGCAGGCCUAACACAUGCAAGUCGAGCGAGCGGCGGACGCGUGAGUAAUGUAUGGGGACUGCCCGAUAGAGGGGGAUAACUACUGGAUACGGUAGCUAAUACCGCAUCCUAUCGGAUAACCCAUAUGGGAUUAGCUAGUAGGUGAGGUAAUGGCUCACCUAGGCGACGAUCCCUAGCUGGUCUGAGAGGAUGAUCAGCCACACUGGGACCGAGACACGGCCCAGACUGCGGCGGAGGCAGGAGUGGGGAAUAUUGGACAAUGGGGGCAAGCCGGAUGCAGCCAUGCCGCGUGAAUGAAGAAGGCACUAGGGUUGUAAAGUACUUUCAGUCGGGAGGCGUUACCGACAGAAGAAGCACCGGCUAACGCCUUUCCAGCAGCCGCGGUAAUUC